rnacentral:rRNA from 1 species
GACGAACGCUGGCGGCGUGCUUAACACAUGCAAGUCGAACGGAAAGGCCCUGCUUUUGUGGGGUGCUCGAGUGGCGAACGGGUGAGUAACACGUGAGUAACCUGCCCUUGACUUUGGGAUAACUUCAGGAAACUGGGGCUAAUACCGGAUAGGAGCUCCUGCUGCAUGGUGGGGGUUGGAAAGUUUCGGCGGUUGGGGAUGGACUCGCGGCUUAUCAGCUGGUUGGUGGGGUAGUGGCUUACCAAGGCUUUGACGGGUAGCCGGCCUGAGAGGGUGACCGGCCACAUUGGGACUGAGAUACGGCCCAGACUCCUACGGGAGGCAGCAGUGGGGAAUAUUGCACAAUGGGCGGAAGCCUGAUGCAGAAACGCCGCGUGCGGGAUGACGGCCUUCGGGUUGUAAACCGCUUUCGCCUGUGACGAAGCGUGAGUGACGGUAAUGGGUAAAGAAGCACCGGCUAACUACGUG